rnacentral:rRNA from 1 species
UACGUAGGGACCGAGCGUUGUCCGGAAUCAUUGGGCGUAAAGAGCGUGUAGGCGGCCACUUAAGUCCUGCGUGAAAUCUUGCGGCUCAACCGCAAGCGGUCGUGGGAAACUGGGUGGCUAGAGUGCGGGAGAGGAGAGUGGAAUUCCUGGUGUAGCGGUGGAAUGCGCAGAUAUCAGGAAGAACACCCGUGGCGAAGGCGGGUCUCUGGGCAAUAACUGACGCUGAGGAGCGAAAGCGUGGGGAGCAAACAGG